rnacentral:lncRNA from 1 species
CAGGCUUAUACAUACACAAUGUGGACAGGGUCAAACAUGUAAGCAGGAUACCAACCCUCCCCUAACAUGGAACAGUGGUGUAACAGUUCUACAUAAGAACGAACUAUAAAAACCAAUUGAAAAAGGCUAACUCAUCAAAUGGAUACAGAUAGAAAUACACCUAACAAAAACACAAGGAGGACAUGUACGGUACUGUACAUCCCAAC